UUUAACGGCUGCGGUAUUUUGACCGUGCAAAGGUAGCGUAAUCACUUGUCUUUUAAUUGAAGACCUGUAUGAAUGGCCUAACGAGGGCUUAGCUGUCUCCUCUAUCUAGUCAAUGAAAUUGAUCUCCCCGUGCAGAAGCGGGGAUAAAACCAUAAGACGAGAAGACCCUAUGGAGCUUCAGACACCAGAACAGACUAUGUCAACUACCCUUCACACAAGGCAGAAACAAAAUACGACCUGUUCCAAUGUCUUCGGUUGGGGCGACCGCGGGGUAAUAAAAAACCCCCGCGCGGAACGGAAGCACCCUCCUACAACCAAGAGCUCCCGCUCUAACUAACAGAAUUUCUGACCAUCAAGAUCCGGCAAGGCCGAUCAACGGACCGAGUUACCCUAGGGAUAACAGCGCAAUCCUCUUCAAGAGACCCUAUCGACAAGGGGGUUUACGACCUCGAUGUUGGAUCAGGACAUCCUAAUGGUG
rnacentral:rRNA from 1 species